GAACUAUAAGUUAAUUUAACAGAAAAAAAUCUCCAAGACAACAAUUAAGUAUGACAGUCUUCUUUCAUUCAACAAAUCAAAACUACAAGCACCUAAUCUCAUCUUACCCUCAAAAACAGAUGACAACUCAAUCAUCUUCCUCAAUGACUUUGGUCCCAAGUCCCUUCAGUCCUUCUGCUGGGAUUUCUGCAACUGUCACAAGGGAGUACAACUCUUCCUUGGCAUCUUCAUCAUCGUUUCUCUUGCGAGCAAUGCGAACUCUGAUUCUUCUGGGCACACUCCUAAUUCCCCUGCUCCAGAUAUGCUUGUUCAGCUUCACAUCCACUCUCACAUCCUUUGUGCCCAUGGCCUUCUCAGCAAACUUCCUGAUCUCCUUGAUGGCCUUGGGUGCCUUCUU
rnacentral:misc_RNA from 1 species